UACGGAGGGGGCUAGCGUUGUUCGGAAUUACUGGGCGUAAAGCGCACGUAGGCGGCUUUGUAAGUUAGAGGUGAAAGCCCAGGGCUUAACCCUGGAAUUGCCUUUAAGACUGCAUCGCUAGAAUCGUGGAGAGGUGAGUGGAAUUCCGAGUGUAGAGGUGAAAUUCGUAGAUAUUCGGAAGAACACCAGUGGCGAAGGCGACUCACUGGACACGUAUUGACGCUGAGGUG
rnacentral:rRNA from 1 species